rnacentral:misc_RNA from 1 species
AACCUUAUGGACCUGCGGGCGUAUACCUGCGGAAGGAUCAUUACCGAGUGUAACCCCCCGUAAAAAGGGGGUACCUCCCGUCCUUUGCUAAGCCUCCCCCCAAAAACUUUGGAAAGGGAAGCUUUUUCAAAUCUUCUGCUUCGGUGGGUUAACCCCCGCCGGAACAACUUCAAAAAAUUCUUGAUCAACUGUUCUGUCCGAGAAAAUUUUAUAAAUAUCAAAAACUUUUAGCAACGGAUC